GAUGAACGCUGGCGGCGUGCCUAAUACAUGCCAGUCGAGCGAACGGACGAGAAGCUUGCUUCUCUGAUGUUAGCGGCGGACGGGUGAGUAACACGUGGAUAACCUACCUAUAAGACUGGGAUAACUUCGGGAAACCGUAGCUAAUACCGGAUAAUAUUUUGAACCGCAUGGUUCAAAAGUGAAAGACGGUCUUGCUGUCACUUAUAGAUGGAUCCGCGCUGCAUUAGCUAGUUGGUAAGGUAACGGCUUACCAAGGCAACGAUGCAUAGCCGACCUGAGAGGGUGAUCGGCCACACUGGAACUGAGACACGGUCCAGACUCCUACGGGAGGCAGCAGUAGGGAAUCUUCCGCAAUGGGCGAAAGCCUGACGGAGCAACGCCGCGUGAGUGAUGAAGGUCUUCGAAUCGUAAAACUCUGUUAUUAGGGAAGAACAUAUGUGUAAGUAACUGUGCACAUCUUGACGGUACCUAAUCAGAAAGCCACGGCUAACUACGUG
rnacentral:rRNA from 1 species